UUGGUGCAGAUUAACGCAAUAAACGCUGCUACUGCAGCAGCUUGCCUCAUUUUAAGCGUGGAUGAAACUGUGAAAAACCCUAAGUCGGAGAGCGCACAAGGAGAAGCAGCUGCUAGUGCGAUGGGCAGAGGUCGUGGUCGCGGCCGUGGAAUGAGGAGGCGAUAGAUAAAAGCUGUCUUUCUUCUACCCUUUUUUUGCUGUAUCAAAUUUCAGUGACUAAUGGGGGCUCUCUCUAUGUUUAAUUUUGUUGACAUUGAUCUUCAGCUCUGAAGGUCUGUUUAGAAGUGCUGCCUUAGUUAUACUAUACACAUGUUCAUAUGCUUGAGGGAGGUGGAGAAAGCUUUUAGGUUUGUUUUUAGAACACCGUUGUCAAGCCCAUACAGUUACAAUUUAGUUGUGGUUGUGUUGGGAAAUCUUCUUCUU